rnacentral:rRNA from 1 species
CCCGCUGAACUUAAGCAUAUCAAUAAGCGGAGGAAAAGAAACUAACAAGGAUUCCCCUAGUAACGGCGAGUGAAGCGGGAAAAGCUCAAAUUUAAAAUCUGGCAGGUUCCCUGUCCGAGUUGUAGUUUCAAGAAACGUUUUCGGUGUACUCCCGGGUAUAAGUCCUUUGGAACAGGGCAUCAUAGAGGGUGAGAAUCCCGUUUAUGACUCGGAGUUGUGCGCUAUGUGUUACGUUUUCUAAGAGUCAGGUUGUUUGGGAAUGCAGCCUAAAAUGGGUGGUAAAUUUCAUCUAAAGCUAAAUAUUUGCGAGAGACCGAUAGCGAACAAGUACCGUGAGGGAAAGAUGAAAAGAACUUUGAAAAGAGAGUUAAACAGUACGUGAAAUUGUUGAAAGGGAAACGUUUGAAAUCAGUCAUGCGGGCGGGUAAUCAGCUUGGCCUUCGGGUCUUGUGCACUUUCCCGUCUUUCGCAGGUCAGCGUCGGUUUUCUUGCUGUCGGAUAAAAGCCCAGGGAAUGUAGCUCCACCCUUCACGGGGAGGGGUGUUAUAGCCCGGGUUAAUACAACGGUGGAGACCGAGGUCUGCAGUCGAUGCUUCUUCGGAGGCUGGGAAAUCUAUCGCUCAUUCGCAUCCGCGCCUAGACAGCUUGCUGACUAGGUGUGUGGUCGGGGGUGACACGGUGGCCUACCACACAUUUCGACUUAGGUCGCUGACUUAAUGGUUUUAAAUGACCCGUCUUGAAACACGG